UAACGAAUAUUCCGCAAUGCGCGAAAGCGUGACGGAGCAAUGCCGCGUGUGGGAUGAAGCGCCUCGGCGUGUAAACCACUGUCAGGGUCCACCAAGCUCUGAGGAGACCCAAAGGAAGGGCCGGCUAACUUCGUGCCAGCAGCCGCGGUAAUACGAAGGGCCCAAACGUUGAUCGGAAUCACUGGGCUUAGAGGGUGCGCAGGCGGACCCGCAAGUGCGUUGUGAAAUCCCACGGCUCAACCGUGGAAUCGCUCCGCAGACUGCGGGUCUUGAGCCCGGCAGGGGCCGUCGGAACGGUAGGUGGAGCGGUGAAAUGCGUUGAUAUCUACCGGAACGCCAAAGGUGAAGACAGACGGCUGGGCCGGCGCUGACGCUCAGGCACGAAAGCGUGGGUAGCGAACGGGAUUAGAUACCCCCGUAGUCC
rnacentral:rRNA from 1 species